UACGUAGGGGGCAAGCGUUAUCCGGAUUUACUGGGUGUAAAGGGAGCGUAGACGGCUUGGCAAGCCAGAUGUGAAAGGCUGGGGCUCAACCCCAGGACUGCAUUUGGAACUGUCAUGCUAGAGUGUCGGAGAGGCAGGCGGAAUUCCUAGUGUAGCGGUGAAAUGCGUAGAUAUUAGGAGGAACACCAGUGGCGAAGGCGGCCUGCUGGACGAUGACUGACGUUGAGGCUCGAAAGCGUGGGGAGCAAACA
rnacentral:rRNA from 1 species